UGCAACAUCAGCACCUUAUUA
rnacentral:piRNA from 1 species